rnacentral:rRNA from 1 species
UACGUAGGGUGCAAGCGUUAAUCGGAAUUACUGGGCGUAAAGCGUGCGCAGGCGGUGAUGUAAGACAGGUGUGAAAUCCCCGGGCUUAACCUGGGAACUGCAUUUGUGACUGCAUCGCUGGAGUGCGGCAGAGGGGGAUGGAAUUCCGCGUGUAGCAGUGAAAUGCGUAGAGAUGUGGAGGAACACCGAUGGCGAAGGCAGCCUCCUGGGAUAACACUGACGCUCAGGCACGAAAGCGUGGGGAGCAAACAGG